rnacentral:rRNA from 1 species
UGGGGAAUUUUGGACAAUGGACGCAAGUCUGAUCCAGCCAUGCCGCGUGCGGGAAGAAGGCCUUCGGGUUGUAAACUGCUUUUGUACGGAGCGAAAAGGUCUGCCCUAAUACGGUGGGCUCAUGACGGUACCGUAAGAAUAAGCACCGGCUAACUACGUGCCAGCAGCCGCGGUAAUACGUAGGGUGCGAGCGUUAAUCGGAAUUACUGGGCGUAAAGCGUGCGCAGGCGGUGAUGUAAGACAGAGGUGAAAUCCCCGGGCUCAACCUGGGAACUGCCUUUGUGACUGCAUAGCUAGAGUACAGUAGAGGGGGAUGGAAUUCCGCGUGUAGCAGUGAAAUGCGUAGAUAUGCGGAGGAACACCGAUGGCGAAGGCAAUCCCCUGGACCUGUACUGACGCUCAUGCACGAAAGCGUGGGGAGCAAACA